CCACGAUGUCCCCUGUAACUUCUCGCAGUAGCGAAUACAGGUUCAGAGUACGAAAUAAGCUUGAAUAGAAGCAAUAUUAGCCAGCGACUCUUUGCUGGUAGCCCUGCAAAUGCAUGGUUGGAGCCACAGAUUCGUCAUCCAAGGGCUGCGAUUAGUCACGCACGGCUAUGUUAUGAACGCCGCAUACCGGUGUUUUCGCCGGUGAGCUCGGCUCAAAUAACGCUAGGCUAACGCAGCGUCUUCACCAGCUAUAGCGACUGCUAAGCACAGAUGGAGCUGCGUCACCCCCUCGCGAUUUGAAGGCCAGACAGACACAAUCCCAUGAAGCCCACCACCGAAAGGUCAGGGGUCAACCACACAAUGUCUCGGCCCAAAGAUCAGGGUCUUUGGUGGCACGUUGGUGAUGUCCAAACAUCCAGUCUGUCAUCUGAGACUGCAGGCAAUGGAAGUCCUUGGGGCAUGCCCGGACACGGCAAAGGCUGGACUACUGCAACGCACUCCUCAUCAGGAUCCCCAGCAGGAACAUCCAGCGGCUGCAGUACAUCCAGAAUUGUGCAGGAUCCUGGUGGGGGUGCGGCAGUACCACCACAUCACAGCCAUCC
ensembl:lncRNA